rnacentral:rRNA from 1 species
AUUGAACGCUGGCGGCAGGCUUAACACAUGCAAGUCGAGCGAGUGGCGGACGGGUGAGUAAUGUCUGGGAAACUGCCCGAUGGAGGGGGAUAACUACUGGAAACGGUAGCUAAUACCGCAUACCAUCAGAUGUGCCCAGAUGGGAUUAGCUAGUAGGUGGGGUAACGGCUCACCUAGGCGACGCUCCCUAGCUGGUCUGAGAGGAUGACCAGCCACACUGGAACUGAGACACGGUCCAUACUCCUACGUGAGGCAGCAGUGGGGAAUAUUGCACAAUGGGCGCAAGCCUGAUGCAGCCAUGCCGCGUGUAUGAAGAAGGCCUUCGGGUUGUAAAGCACUUUCAGCGAGGAGGCGUUACUCGCAGAAGAAGCACCGGCUAACGCCGUGCCAGCAGCCGCGGUAAUUC